GGCGAGUGAAAAAGCUCGUAACCAAAGGUUAGCUGUUAGCCCUGUGUUACGGCGAGUGAAAG
rnacentral:rRNA from 1 species